AUUGAACGCUGGCGGCAGGCCUAACACAUGCAAGUCGAACGGUAACAGGGAUCAGCUUGCUGAUUCGCUGACGAGUGGCGGACGGGUGAGUAAUGUCUGGGAAACUGCCUGAUGGAGGGGGAUAACUACUGGAAACGGUAGCUAAUACCGCAUAACGUCGCAAGACCAAAGAGGGGGACCUUCGGGCCUCUUGCCAUCGGAUGUGCCCAGAUGGGAUUAGCUAGUAGGUGGGGUAACGGUUCACCUAGGCGACGAUCCCUAGCUGGUCUGAGAGGAUGACCAGCCACACUGGAACUGAGACACGGUCCAGACUCCUACGGGAGGCAGCAGUGGGGAAUAUUGCACAAUGGGCGCAAGCCUGAUGCAGCCAUGCCGCGUGUAUGAAGAAGGCCUUCGGGUUGUAAAGUACUUUCAGCGGGGAGGAAGGGAGUAAAGUUAAUACCUUUGCUCAUUGACGUUACCCGCAGAAGAAGCACCGGCUAACUCCGUG
rnacentral:rRNA from 1 species